rnacentral:misc_RNA from 1 species
GAAAAUUGAUAUUCCUAUUAAUUUUUCUCCAACAAAAUCAUAGCCCAAAACUGCUUUUAAGGCGUAGUAAUAAUAAUAAUAUCUUCUUUGACAUUGUUAACUUGUAAUAUCACUAAAUGAGGCACUACAACUACAUUUACAGCGAUUUGCUAAUUGUUAAGUCACUGUUAACUGUAUCUUCUCUUUCUGAAUCUGAUCCUUCUCAGCUAAAACAUGGCAUUGUUUGAACUAUGCCAAGUACUUAAACACGUUUGGGUUCUCCUUAUCUCUCUC